rnacentral:rRNA from 1 species
AUUGAACGCUGGCGGCAUGCUUUACACAUGCAAGUCGAACGGUAACAGGGUGCUUGCACCGCUGACGAGUGGCGAACGGGUGAGUAAUGCGUCGGAACGUGCCGAGUAGUGGGGGAUAACGCAGCGAAAGUUGUGCUAAUACCGCAUACGUACUGAGGGAGAAAGUGGGGGACCUUCGGGCCUCACGCCAUUCGAGCGGCCGACGUCUGAUUAGCUAGUAGGUGAGGUAAAGGCUCACCUAGGCGACGAUCAGUAGCGGGUCGGAGAGGAUGAUCCGCCACACUGGGGCUGAGACACGGCCCAGACUCCUACGGGAGGCAGCAGUGGGGAAUUUUGGACAAUGGGCGAAAGCCUGAUCCAGCCAUGCCGCGUGUCUGAAGAAGGCCUUCGGGUUGUAAAGGACUUUUGUCGGGGAGGAAAUCCCUAGCGUUAAUACCGCUGGGGGAUGACAGUACCUGAAGAAUAAGCACCGGCUAACUACGUGCCAGCCGCCGCCGUAA